UACGUAGGUGGCAAGCGUUGUCCGGAAUUAUUGGGCGUAAAGCGCGCGCAGGCGGCCUUUUAAGUCUGAUGUGAAAGCCCACGGCUCAACCGUGGAAGGUCAUUGGAAACUGAAAGGCUUGAGUACAGAAGAGGAAAGCGGAAUUCCACGUGUAGCGGUGAAAUUCGUAGAUAUUGGGAAGAACACCGGUGGCGAAGGCGGCUCUCUGGACCGAUACUGACGCUGAGGCGCGAAAGCGUGGGGAGCAAACAGG
rnacentral:rRNA from 1 species